rnacentral:rRNA from 1 species
AAUAAACGCUGGCGGCGUGCCUAACACAUGCAAGUCGAGCGAGAAAGCUCCUUCGGGAGUUAGUAAAGCGGCGAACGGGUGAGCAACACGUGAGAAUCUACCCUUUAGUGAAGAAUACCCUCGAGAAAUCGAGGCUAAUACUGCAUACGUCCCUUCGGGGAGAAAGAUGGCCUCUUUGCUAUCGCUAAAGGAUGAGCUUGCGUACUAUUAGCUAGUUGGCGGGGUAAAGGCCCACCAAGGCAAUGAUGGUUAACCGGCCUGAGAGGGUGUACGGUCACACUGGAACUUAGACACGGUCCAGACUCCUACGGGAGGCAGCAGUGAGGAAUCUUGCGCAAUGGGCGAAAGCCUGACGCAGCGACGCCGCGUGGAGGAUGACGGUUUUCGGAUUGUAAACUCCUGUUAAGCGGGAAGAAAGCCUUGUUUCUAAUACAAGCAAGGUAUGACGGUACCGCUAGAGAAAGCACCGGCUAACUUCGUGCCAGCAGCCGCGGUAA